UUAGGCCUGGAAUGUCCGCCAGCCAAGAAGUCCCUGAGCCGAUACAUAUAAAAAGGCUUCUCUAAGACAACACUGUUGUGCAAUUCCGUGCGACGGAACGCCUGAUGUGUUGCUGGAGUCGCCACCUUGAACUUUUCGGUUCAAGGCCACUUUGGCAGCGACAUUUCCGGGUUCAAA
rnacentral:other from 1 species